GAUGAACGCUGGCGGCGUGCCUAAUACAUGCAAGUCGAGCGAACAGACGAGGAGCUUGCUCCUCUGACGUUAGCGGCGGACGGGUGAGUAACACGUGGAUAACCUACCUAUAAGACUGGGAUAACUUCGGGAAACCGGAGCUAAUACCGGAUAAUAUAUUGAACCGCAUGGUUCAAUAGUGAAAGACGGUUUUGCUGUCACUUAUAGAUGGAUCCGCGCCGCAUUAGCUAGUUGGUAAGGUAACGGCUUACCAAGGCAACGAUGCGUAGCCGACCUGAGAGGGUGAUCGGCCACGCUGGAACUGAGACACGGUCCAGACUCCUACGGGAGGCAGCAGUAGGGAAUCUUCCGCAAUGGGCGAAGGCUUGACGGAGCAACGCCGCGUGAGUGAUGAAGGUCUUCGGAUCGUAAAACUCUGUUAUUAGGGAAGAACAAAUGUGUAAGUAACUAUGCACGUCUUGACGGUACCUAAUCAGAAAGCCACGGCUAACUACGUG
rnacentral:rRNA from 1 species